rnacentral:misc_RNA from 1 species
GUCGAGCGGCGAUGUGGCAAUCACGUGGCAGUGGCUCGCUGAUUGGCCUCUGCCCGUACCACGUGCGGAGGUUCUUCUUUGGUUGGAGAAGGAAGUAGAGAGUCAAGUGUUUGUGUUAGACAAGUUAGAUUAAUCGCUAGUCACAAAUAUUAUUCAAAAUGCCUGAGGUACAGAGAUACAGGAAUGGGGAAGAUGAAAAGUUUUGUAAAUUGUUUAUUGGUGGUCUAAACUACAGCACAACUGAAGAAGGCUUAAAGAGCCACUUUGAACAAUGGGGUGAAAUAGUUGACUGUGUUGUCAUGAGAGAUCUAACCACUAAAAGGUCCAGAGGGUUUGGCUUUGUCACUUAUAAAACUGAAGAUAUGUUGGAUGAAGCACAAAAGCACCGUCCCCACAAAGUAGAUAACAGAGAGGUUGACACCAAAAGGGCUAUUCCUCGUAGUGAAGCGGAUGAAUCUCAAGCUGCUGUGAAGAAAAUGUUUGUUGGUGGCCUGAAGGAAGGUACCACCGAAGAUGAAAUCAAAGAACGAUUCGAAAGUUAUGGUACAAUUGAAAAAAUAGAGUUGAUUAAAGACAAAGCUACUGGAAAGCAGAGAGGAUUUUGUUUUGUCACUUACAAUGAUCCUGAUGCAGUUGAUAAAUGUGUUUUGAGAAAACGCAUUCAGUUAAAUGGAAAAGUGGUUGAAGUGAAAAAAGCUGUGUCAAAAACUGAAAUCGAGAGAUCUGGUCGAGGUGGUAUGCGUGGAGGUUCCGACUAUGGUAUGCGUGAUAAUUUUGAUGAUAACUAUGGUGGUGGUGGUAACUGGAACAUGGGUGGUGAAAACAACUGGGGUAACUCAGGUGGUUAUCCAAACCAAGGUGGUGGUGGCUGGAACCAAGGUGGUCAAGGUGGCUGGAACCAAGGAUUUGGUCAAGGCAACAACACUGGUUGUUAUGGUGGCAAUUUUAAUCCUCGAGGCAACUUCAAUAAUAAUUUCAGGAGUGGAGAUUAUGGUAAUGAUGGAAACAAUUGGAAUAACCCCUCCAAUUUUGGAACUGGCUAUGGAGGGAGUGGCAAUACUGGCCCAAUGCGUGGUGGCAACUACUCUCAGCGAUCAAGUGGACCUUAUGGAGGAAAAUAAGAAAAAAGUGGACAUUUUUACUGGUGGCUAUGGAGCUGGUGGUGGUGGUGGUGGUAUGGGUUAUAACAGACGGUAACUUCAUUAUUUCCUAUCAUUAUAACUUAGGUAUGGUUAAAUGUGGAACUGAUUCAUCAAAGCAUCUUCUCUAUCAAAAUGCUGACCAACUGGAGUACUUACUCUUGACCUGCUGAUUUAUUUGGUUUUUUUUCUUCUAUUUUUUUUUUCUACAUGAUUCAGAGAACCCCCAAGUUACACCAGACAGCUGCAAAAUAUACCAUCCUAAUUAAACCAAGCCAUAAAAUUGAAAAAGGGAAAAAAAAUAUUCAUAGACUGUUUCUUUUUAUAUUGUAAAUAUCAGUUUCAUAAAAAGAAAAAUUAGGUUGAAGAUUUCAAAAACCUCACAUUUUGUACAAGUCUUAAGAUUGUGCUUAUUCUUAUCUUUGCUACAUUGUCAUGGUUGGUAUUCUACUUUUAAGACCAAACUGUUUUUUUUUUAGAUGGUAUUGCUAAAGACAUUUAUUGUAUGGGUAACAAUAAUAAAAAAAAACAACAAAAGAUAAAACAACCAUCUCAUUUCCUACUUCAUAAAUAUCCAUACAAUUCUUUCAACCACUCCUAAUGCUAAUUUGUUUCACCUUCUGCACUUACACAUUCCUGCCAUCCAAUUUCAAUUAGCCUUGAUAAAACUCAAGGCUGCUAAUAAAAUAAUCUUAUUUCAUGACUUCUCUUCAUUUUAUGUCAAAAGAAAAGGGGGAAAAAA